GCGCUCGACUAUGCUGGUGACAAUAAACUGCCUUUAUUCGCUAAUUUGACUUGGAUGGGGCUGCAUGUUCACAAUUGCUAUGGUUGGAAACGUUUAUUGCUUUUGUUCAAUAGCAUGCCAAACCUGGUAUAUCUUGAUUUGACUAGAUUGAAGAAUUGUGAAGAUAAUGCUCUUGAGGAUUUCAAUUUUAUUGAACAAGAAGUGGUGCCUUGUUGUCUGUCGAUGCAUCUUCAAAAAAUUGGAAUUCGUGGAUUUCGGGGGCUGAGUGAUGAGCUGAAGCUGACAGUAUUUUCUGAGAAAUUGCAAUGUAUUGCAUGAGAAGUCAAUUGUAAAUUUUUAUUUAGAUGAAAAUCAAGAGAGAGAAUUUCUCAAGAAAGUGGAAAUGUUUCCUAGAAGUUCAAGAAACUGUCAAAUUAUUCUUGAGAAAGCACAAGAAGUUUCCUGAGAUGGAAUUGCAUCUGUUCUCUUUGUAUUGAAAGACUAUCAAAUUGUGUUUGUUACAUUUAUUCCUGAUGGGACAGUUUAUUUGAUUUUUAUUUUGAAUA